rnacentral:rRNA from 1 species
GACGAACGCUGGCGGCGUGCUUAACACAUGCAAGUCGAACGGAAAGGCCCUGCUUUUGUGGGGUGCUCGAGUGGCGAACGGGUGAGUAACACGUGGGUAACCUGCCCUUGACUUUGGGAUAACUUCAGGAAACUGGGGCUAAUACCGGAUAGGAGCUCCUGCUGCAUGGUGGGGGUUGGAAAGUUUCGGCGGUUGGGGAUGGACUCGCGGCUUAUCAGCUUGUUGGUGGGGUAGUGGCUUACCAAGGCUUUGACGGGUAGCCGGCCUGAGAGGGUGACCGGCCACAUUGGGACUGAGAUACGGCCCAGACUCCUACGGGAGGCAGCAGUGGAGAAUAUUGCACAAUGGGCGGAAGCCUGAUGCAGCAACGCCGCGUGCGGGAUGACGGCCUUCGGGUUGUAAACCGCUUUCGCCUGUGACGAAGCGUGAGUGACGGUAAUGGGUAAAGAAGCACCGGCUAACUACGUG